rnacentral:rRNA from 1 species
AGAGUUUGAUCAUGGCUCAGAUUGAACGCUGGCGGCAGGCCUAACACAUGCAAGUCGAGCGGUAGCACAGAGAGCUUGCUCUCGGGUGACGAGCGGCGGACGGUGAGUAAUGUCUGGGAAACUGCCUGAUGGAGGGGGAUAACUACUGGAAACGGUAGCUAAUACCGCAUAACGUCGCAAGACCAAAGUGGGGGACCUUCGGGCCUCAUGCCAUCAGAUGUGCCCAGAUGGGAUUAGCUAGUAGGUGGGGUAACGGCUCACCUAGGCGACGAUCCCUAGCUGGUCUGAGAGGAUGACCAGCCACACUGGAACUGAGACACGGUCCAGACUCCUACGGGAGGCAGCAGUGGGGAAUAUUGCACAAUGGGCGCAAGCCUGAUGCAGCCAUGCCGCGUGUGUGAAGAAGGCCUUCGGGUUGUAAAGCACUUUCAGCGGGGAGGAAGGCGAUAAGGUUAAUAACCUUGUCGAUUGACGUUACCCGCAGAAGAAGCACCGGCUAACUCCGUGCCAGCAGCCGCGGUAAUACGGAGGGUGCAAGCGUUAAUCGGAAUUACUGGGCGUAAAGCGCACGCAGGCGGUCUGUCAAGUCGGAUGUGAAAUCCCCGGGCUCAACCUGGGAACUGCAUUCGAAAACUGGCAGGCUAGAGUCUUGUAGAGGGGGGUAGAAUUCCAGGUGUAGCGGUGAAAUGCGUAGAGAUCUGGAGGAAUACCGGUGGCGAAGGCGGCCCCUGGACAAAGACUGACGCUCAGGUGCGAAAGCGUGGGGAGCAAACAGGAUUAGAUACCCUGGUAGUCCACGCCGUAAACGAUGUCGAUUUGGAGGUUGUGCCCUUGAGGCGUGGCUUCCGGAGCUAACGCGUUAAAUCGACCGCCUGGGGAGUACGGCCGCAAGGUUAAAACUCAAAUGAAUUGACGGGGCCCGCACAAGCGGUGGAGCAUGUGGUUUAAUUCGAUGCAACGCGAAGAACCUUACCUGGUCUUGACAUCCACAGAACUUUCCAGAGAUGGAUUGGUGCCUUCGGGAACUGUGAGACAGGUGCUGCAUGGCUGUCGUCAGCUCGUGUUGUGAAAUGUUGGGUUAAGUCCCGCAACGAGCGCAACCCUUAUCCUUUGUUGCCAGCGGUUAGGCCGGGAACUCAAAGGAGACUGCCAGUGAUAAACUGGAGGAAGGUGGGGAUGACGUCAAGUCAUCAUGGCCCUUACGACCAGGGCUACACACGUGCUACAAUGGCAUAUACAAAGAGAAGCGACCUCGCGAGAGCAAGCGGACCUCAUAAAGUAUGUCGUAGUCCGGAUUGGAGUCUGCAACUCGACUCCAUGAAGUCGGAAUCGCUAGUAAUCGUAGAUCAGAAUGCUACGGUGAAUACGUUCCCGGGCCUUGUACACACCGCCCGUCACACCAUGGGAGUGGGUUGCAAAGAAGUAGGUAGCUUAACCUUCGGGAGGGCGCUUACCACUUUGUGAUUCAUGACUGGGGUGAAGUCGUAACAAGGUAACCGUAGGGGAACCUGCGGUUGGAUCACCU